ACGGUACUUGAUGAAUAAGCCACGGCUAAUUCCGUGCCAGCAGCCGCGGUAAUACGGGAGUGGCAAGCGUUAUCCGGAAUUAUUGGGCGUAAAGCGUCCGCAGGCGGCCCUUCAAGUCUGCUGUUAAAAAGUGGAGCUUAACUCCAUCAUGGCAGUGGAAACUGAGGGGCUUGAGUGUGGUAGGGGCAGAGGGAAUUCCCGGUGUAGCGGUGAAAUGCGUAGAUAUCGGGAAGAACACCAGUGGCGAAGGCGCUCUGCUGGGCCAUCACUGACGCUCAUGGACGAAAGCCAGGGGAGCGAAAGGGAUUAGAUACCCCUGUAGUCCUGGCCGUAAACGAUGAACACUAGGUGUCGGGGGAAUCGACCCCCUCGGUGUCGUAGCCAACGCGUUAAGUGUUCCGCCUGGGGAGUACGCACGCAAGUGUGAAACUCAAAGGAAUUGACGGGGGCCCGCACAAGCGGUGGAGUAUGUGGUUUAAUUCGAUGCAACGCGAAGAACCUUACCAGGGUUUGACAUCCUGCGAAUCUCUUGGAAACGAGAGAGUGCCUUCGGGAGCGCAGUGACAGGUGGUGCAUGGCUGUCGUCAGCUCGUGUCGUGAGAUGUUGGGUUAAGUCCCGCAACGAGCGCAACCCACGUCUUUAGUUGCCAGCAUUUAGUUGGGCACUCUAGAGAGACCGCCGGUGAUAAACCGGAGGAAGGUGUGGAUGACGUCAAGUCAUCAUGCCCCUUACAUCCUGGGCUACACACGUACUACAAUGCUACGGACAAAGGGCAGCAAGUUCGCGAGGACAAGCAAAUCCCAUAAACCGUGGCUCAGUUCAGAUCGUAGGCUGCAACUCGCCUACGUGAAGGAGGAAUCGCUAGUAAUCGCAGGUCAGCAUACUGCGGUGAAUACGUUCCCGGGCCUUGUACACACCGCCCGUCACACCAUGGAAGUUGGCCACGCCCGAAGCCGUUACUCCAACCCUUGUGGAGGAGGACGUCGAAGGUGGGGCUGAUGACUGGGGUG
rnacentral:rRNA from 1 species